UUCUUCACCUGAUGAAUGGACACAGCGUUGACUACUGGUUCAAUCAUGCCACUGUCGGCAGAAAUCACAAGAAUCUUAUAUGGCUUGAUCCAAAGAGGCACUCGUUCCUGCUCCCAAAUGGACUGUGAAGAGACACAAAGGAUUACAUGUGUAUACAAUCACGAAUAACAGAACCAGGAAGUUUGAAAAGGAAGUCCAAGCUGGGCAGUGGUGGUACACGUCUUUAAUCCCAGCACUCGGGAGGCAGAGCUGCUUCAACACCUGGAAAGCCAGCAGCUCCUGCCGAAGGUCAUCUCCACACUUGACAAUGACUGACAGGAGUCGCCAAUUGGGAAGAUGGCCAUAGGGGGAGCCCUCUCUGAUCCUCCUGUGAAGAAAGAAGUCAUGUGGUGAUGCCCUAGGGCUAAGGACUCCAGACAGCAAUGGAAGUCUGAUGAAGUGAGCACCUCAAAAUGCCUUGGAGCUCUGAGGGGAGAGCCAAGACCACCCUCCUCCCCCUCUACACUCCUCACCGCACUUUCUCCUGCCAGGGCUCUUUGAGGGCGACUGCAGAAGGGUCUUCAGGGUCUCGUUUGAAGGCUGUGGGCGUGUGAGCCAGCUGUUCUGAAAGGCGCCGUCUAGCAGGAAGAAAUGUUGCAAGAGUUAUCUCAGAGCAUCAAUGGCUGUGCCCCCUCUUGCCACUGCACCUAGAUUCUGGCCCUAGGAAAGCCAGAGGAAAAAGCAUCAUCAAUGGCACUAUUUAGCUAACCUGGCAGUUUGUGACCAUGCAAAGAACCUGGCUUUCCUCACUCCUCUAUCCCAAUAUUGAUUUGGAAUGGGUAUGAUUCUGGAAUCUGCACAUCCAACAAGGUCUCCUCUCUCCCCUCAAAGUGAAGGAUACAAUUCUGAGAUCUCACUUUGAUUCUUGGUUUUGGGUUCGCUCAUGGUGCUGGGAACUGAACCCAGGGCCUUGCACAUGCUAGUCAAGUGCACCUUUGAGAAAUGAUGCUCAAAUGCCCUCUGAGGCAUUUCUUCUUGUUGGAACUCCCUUAAAAUGGCAUUUCUUUCUGUAGUAGCUCGAGCUAUUGCACCUUCACUGUCUCAUGUAUGGUGACCUCAGGACAGAAUAUGAGAUAAAGGAAAAAGACACAAGACUGACAGAUGGUGACUAGGCACAGGAAAGGGAUAAAGAGGCAGGCAAAGUCUGGAAAAGAGAUGGAAAUUAGGGAUGAUGUGAUCUGGCCAUACCGGAUGUCCCCUGCUGCAAUGAACACAGGCUCCUUGCUCUCCUGGCUGGUGAUGCUGUCCACCGAGAACUGGGAGAUGUUGUCACAGCUGUUGGUGUGCACUUCAGGGAGCUGAGGAGAGCAGGUCAGAGGUGCUAAACACAGAUCUCCCUCUUUCCCCCUGCUCACUUGCCACUACCUGUGGCAUGCUGGCCUACCACUUCCAGACUGCUCCAAAGCCACCAUGGCUACACACCAGUGUGGCCUUCUUGAGUUAUGGAUCCCACAGUGGUGUUCUUAAAGUAUGAACUACUCCAUCAGAAUUCAUGGAGAUGCGUAGGAAAUGCAGAUUCUCAGAUCUCACCAUCAGUCUAAGAUGGAACUGCUGGACAUGAAAACUAGAAGCUAAAUUUUAGAAAACUUUCCAGAAUACCCCCACACCUUAAAGUUUGUACAUCACUGACCUCAUAUUGAAAGCCCCCUAUGAUUAGGGAUGUAUUAUUCUCCCCUAGAUCCUUCCAGACUAGAUUUCUUUGACUAUAUCUUUAAUUUUUUUGUUUUGUUUUUUCAAGGCAGGGUUUCUCUGGUUGUCCUGGAACUUGCUCUGUAGACAAGGCUGGCCUGUAACUCUGAUGUACAUCAGGCUGGCUUGGAACUUACAGAUUUCCUGCCUCUGCCUCCCAAGUGCUGGGAUUAAAGUUGUGUACUAUUAACACCUGGCUUUUUCUUUCUUUUCUUUUCUGUUUGUUUGUUUGAGACGGGGACUCAUGUAUCUCAGCCUGACCUCAAGUGUACUCGGUAGCUGAGAAUGGCCUUAACUUCCUGCUCUCCCUGCUUCCAUUUGAGUGCGGGCGCCAUAGGUGAGCUGCCACAUCCAGCUUCACCUCUUCCGUUUAACCCUCCUCAUUUGUCACUAACAGACUCUGGUCUCCUGACCUUCCUUGUAGCAAAGCCGCCUCAGCUCCAUCUAACGCACACCGACUUGUGCAUCUCCCAUUUUCUUCUUAAAUGGCGAUUUCUAGCCUCAACUUGACUGUAAAUAAGAUAGAGAUCUAUCUUUUUCACCAAAUGCUGCUACAUAAGAUCCUGCUUGAGCUUUUUCCCCAGAGCUAGCAGGACUGAAUGAGUGCAUGGCCUGUCUGUCAGUCAGGGCGUGCCAACCUCUCCAGCCUCAUCUGUCACUGCUUCUCACCUCACACGUGCAUUCAAUGCACAAAGAUUUCUUUCACUUCCUGUCACAGGCCAUGUUCCGUUUCUCUUCCAGUCUUUGUACACAGUCCUCUGAAUGUUCUUUGUUCUGCUAAUUCCAGCCAUGCUUCAGGCCUUGGCUGAAAGAUUACUUCCUCCAGGAAAUCUUUUGACUCCCACCCCAAGUCUGGAGUAAAUACCAACUUUGGGUGCUUCCAUAAUGUCCCAUGUCCCCACCACAAUGUAGGUCACACCAUACUACAGCUGCCAGCUGUUUGGUCUGAUUCUCUGUUAGGUCGUAAAUUCCUUGCAGGUAUAAGCCAAGUGUUGUUCACCAGCAUACAGUACUCAGGUGUGACACACAGAAAGCCCUCCAUGAACAUUUUUUUUUUAGUUUUUCAAGAAAGGUACAGACUGGCCUCAAAUUCUCUAUAUAGCUGAGGCUGACCUUGAACCCCAAAUCCUGCUUCAACCAUUCAUGUGCUGGGAUUAGAGCUGUGAGUCACUACACACAGACAUUAAUAUUUCUUUUUAUAUUUAUUUUAUAUAUAUGAGUGUUUGCCUGUAUGUGCACCACGUACAUACAAUAUCGGAAGAGGCCAUAAAAGGGCAGCAAGUUUCUCUAAAAUUGGAGUUACAGACAGGUGCUGGGGAACUGACCCAAUUCUCUACAGGGGGGGGCCAGUGCUCAUACUGUGAGCCAUGUAUCCAGCCCCUUUAUGUAUAUAAUUUACUUUUGGUUUUUCAGACAGGGUUUCUCUGUAUUGUUUUGGAGGCUGUCCUGGAACUCACUCUGUAGGUCAGGUUGGCCUAGAACUCACAGAGAUCCACCUGCCUCUGCCUCCUGAGUGCUGGGAUUAAAGGUUUGAGUCACCACCACUCCUUUAUUUAUUUAUUUGACUGAAUGCAUGCAUGGCUUAUCAGUCUCUGCUGUCCUAAAUGAACUUUACAUAGCAGAUGUUCCAUAUAUUUUUUAUUACAUUUCCCUCCUCCUCCUCUAGUCUAGAUAUUCCUCUUUACAUUCCAUCUGAAUCUCUGUUGCAGGAGAGCAAGCUUGAGCCUAUUCCAACCAGCUGUUCAGAGCUGCUCCUUCUCAUAACCCUCACUACCUACAAUACUCAUCUGGGUGCUUGUCACCCUCUGCUACUUAUUCCAAGUAUUAAAGCUCCCAGAGAACAGGUGCUGCACCCCAGCACGGUGUCCUUGGUGUCCCUCACCUCCACCUGUAGCUCGCCUAUAUCAUCCACCGACCAGGCUUCAUCAUCAUUGUCAUAAUUGGGCACUGUGCUGAAGCUGCCAGCCCGCUGCUCGUGAGUCAUGCCACAUUCAGGAAGGUUCUCCACGGACCGUGUGCUCCGAAUUCGGUUCUCAGGAAUCCGGGCAGGAACGCUAGUUGUGUCGAAGUUUUCACAUUCAAGAACUUCCACGUAGAUCAGGUAGGGAGCCUGGGGGGGAGUGGGGGAAGAGACAGCUACGACCGCCUCCUAAGUUCCACUGACACAGUUCUUCUGUUCCAUCCCUCAACAGCAGCCCUUAUUACCGUGAGUGACAUGCACAAGUAGGAACAUGUGCUAUCACCCGCAUAAAACAUUUGCGGAGGGGCAGAGGCUUCCAAGCUGUCAUCAGGGCUUCAAACGUAUACAUGCAACUGGGAAAAACUAUUCCAACUAUCAACGGCAGUUGAGGGUCUGUGGGCUUAUGCUAAAGUCAGGGCCCAGGGACAUAGACACAAACUGGAUAAAGCAAGACAUGUCCCACGGAGAAUCCUAAUUUCCAAUUUCCUGAGAGGAGAAUCUGAACCAUGAGGACAAUCAUUCCUAUAAACAUACAAACAGUUUCUUUUCUCUAGUGUGUACUGGGCAUAUUUCUUCCCUUUCUUCCCACUUUGAUCAAAAAAGUCUUAAUAAAAGUGUCCCUUUACUCACUCA